rnacentral:tRNA from 1 species
CGCGAGGUGGAGUAGCGGUAACUCGUUGGGCUCAUAACCCAAAGAUCGUGGGUUCGAAUCCCACCCUCGCAA